AUUGCCCCUCGGGUACGGAUCCUUGGGGGGCAGAGCAGCAGCGGCCGUGCCGGCACGAGUGCGGCUGGCUGACCACCAGCCCCCCGUCCCGCAGCCCGGCUCAGCCCCCCCGCCCGCGCGGCUCCAGGUCCGGAUUGCUCCUGGGGGUCCUGAGCGCCCUUGCAGCCUUCUGCCACCCCUGCAGCACGACGACCGGGACGAAGCCCGGUUACUCAGCACACGUCUCACCCGUUCUCAAAGGCGCUCCGCCUCGGAAGCUUCCGAAGUUUCCAAGGGCAGCGACUGCUGAGUGCUCCCGGCGCUGUAACUUGUAGGUUGUCGUGGGGAUGAACGGGGCUCGAGUGACAUCAGAGAUCAUGCUGCCAGUGGCCCGGAGUCCAGAUUUCUCAGGGUUAGACUCGGCCAUUCACCAAGUAGCCAGGCGGCCUGGGGCAACUACUUCACCUCUUCCUGCCCCAGCUCCCCUUCCGCAUAAGCAACACAGUGGGGUCGUCUCGGCCCCUCCCCUCACAGGGGACAAUUGUCAGCAUCAGUGCAUCGAGAACACCAGAUGGACGCCCGGUACUUACACGUCACAUGGCGCUUUUAUCGGGGGACAGCUCUCUGUGGGGCCCCUGCCCUGCUGCUGACUGCUCUUGUUCUAGAUUUUGCUCUCCACCAGCUUUCCAAGGAUGUUUACAGAAUGAACAGUCUGGAAAGACAGAGACAGUAUCUGUCACCCGGGCAAAGGGCAGGUUUGUUGACGGCUCAGCGGGAUGAAGACCAUCUCCCUCGGGGACCAAGCUCAGGCUGAUCGCCCCUCUGACCGGGUGCAUUUCCUUAGCUCAGGGCUCCUGUCCCGCGGCAGGUGUCACCUGGCCCUCUUUACUCCGCCCUGUGCCAGCUGGCAGUUAGGGAGCUGGAUCCGGGGCAAGAAAAUGCUGCCGCCCCGCUAAAUGCCAUUGCUGACAGCUGCGCAGCCCCUCCUCCUGACCCAGGACGCUUCUGUCUUCUGCCGCCGUCUGUGACACUGGGACAGCCGCGCUUACAGGGCGGGCGGCAGCUUCAGAGCCUUCACAGUUCGGAACCCCUUUCAGCCAAAGCCGAAAAACCCUUAUUCACCACAAUCCUGCGAGCCAGGCCAAGCCAAUAACGAUUGGAAGUUCUCUGGUUUAUGUUCUGGCAAACGUCGACAAAGCAAAACAAAACACAGCAAAACUCCAUUUCCGAGGCAUCCAAAGAGGGGAAAGGGAAAGAGAGUUUCAGAACAUGGAGCACUCAGCCAUCGGGGUUCCAUCUAACGGUCAUGCUUCACAAAGAAGUGAGGACACAUGCCUGCACCCCAGGACAGGGUCGUGCGUACCCAAGAGCAGAGCAAUGCACUUGGACUUGUGGCUGUGAGUCUGUGCAGCUGGGGCCAAGCCAUCUUGGACCCUGAGGCAAAAGGAAAAUUCAGCAAAGGCGAUUCCAUCUUUGUUUAAAAUUUCGAUGGUUUAUUCAUCGUG